GCGUUUACUUUUUGCCAAUAACGUAAAUUAAAAGAUUGGGAAACUAAGUUAAAAAAGGAUACGGAACACGGGAAAGGAUCAGAUAAGUAGAAAGAGGAUUGAAACGGAUAUUAAAAAUUUCAUAAAUAUACAUAUAUACUUGCUACUUACACAACAUUACAAAUAUUUAAACUUUGAUAUGAUUCUGAAGAAUGAAAGAUGACAAUAUUUUAUAAAAUUUACAUGGAUACAUAAUUAGAGAGGAUAUACAGGUGAUAGAUCAAGGCCAUUUAAGUCCAACCAAGUUUUUAAAUUUAUCAGCGGUUGUGUUAUAGAAGAACUAGCUUUUUCAAUAGAAAUAUCACGACAGUAAAUUAAUAGAUCAUCAGCAUACUGAAGAACAUUUACACUAUUAAGUGAUGAUUUUAAAUCGUGUGUAUAAAUAUUAUACAAUAUUGGGCUAAGUACUGAUCCCUGGGGGAGGCCCUUUGAAACAAGUCGAGUAAUUGACUUCCUGUCAUCUAGUUUCAGGAUUAUGUAUCUUUCGGAAAGCAUGUUUAUGAUAAAAUUUGUUAAUAGCAGAGGUAUAUUAAGUUGUAAAAGCUUACUCUUUAAAAUACUUAUUACGACAUUAUCAUAGGCACAAUUUAUAUCUAAGAACGCAGCUAUUACUGAUUUAUUAUUUGAAAAUGAUAAUUGAAUAUCAGAAAUGAAUAUACUUAAGCUAUCAAUAGUACUUUUCCCACGUCUGAAACCGAAUUGGGAUUCACAUAAUAGACCGUUAUGCUCAACAAACCAUUCUAAACGAUUUUUUAUAAGAUGGUCUGUAAUUUUCAUCAAAACAGAAGAAAGUGCGAUUGGGCGAUAGGCAGAAUGGUCUGAAGAACACCUAUUAGGUUUCAGUACGGGAAUUAUUUCUUGACGUUUCCACGUGGAGGGGAUGUUACCAGAUGUCACUAUGGAAUUUAUAAGAGAUAAAUAAUAAAAUAAAGCAUCAUCAUCUAAAUGAGAGAUAAAGGAAUACGGAAUACCGUCCAGUCCAGGAGCAGAAUCCUUAACAUGAGACAAUACACCUUUUAGUUCAGUGAGAGAAAAUAUACUGUUUAAACCAAAACAGUUAUCAUUAUUUAUAUUUAUUACAGGGUAACCAAUUAUUAAGUCUUCAGGAACGAAAGGUGGAGCCAAUUUAUCUAAAAAGCUAUUAACUAAAUGAAAAGGGAUUGAUUUUGGAGAUGAAUCUUUGUAUGCAGAUCUAAACCUUCUUAUAUUUUGCCAUACAAGAGAUGGUUUGACAUCAGGUGAUAUUGAAUAGCAGAAAUUUUUCCAGCCAUCAAAUUUCUUUUUCUUUAGAAAUUUUGAAGUUUCUGACAUACUCUUUGUAAGAAUUUCAAAAUUCUCAUCAGUGGAACAUUGACAGUAUGUAAUUUCAGCAUAUUUUCUUCUCUUUACUGCCUCAGUACAUUCGUUAUCCCACCAAGGAGGAGAAGGAAUAAAACCCAAAGAGCUAUUUUUACUUGGAAAUAUCUCAUUGGCAACCUCAAUAAAGAUUCUUGCUAAAGAAUCUGCACACUGAGAUUCUGUACCUGGAUUAAUUUUUGGAAGUGUUGGAAAUGAUAAUAAUAGUGGGAAGUGAUCACUACCAAAAGUAGAUCGUAAUGGAUCCCAGGACAAAGAAGAAGCAAGAUUAGGUGUAGUGACUGUUAAAUCUGGAGCACUUGGGCCUUCGUCAGG